AUGUCGAAGGUUAGGCUGACUUUAGUCUCUGAAAUUAUCAUGCAGUUGGUCCAGGGUAUAGGAACACACAUCAGCAGGACCCCAGUUGUCUUGGGAACAGGCAGCAGCCUGCCUUUCCAUCUUUCCUACAAAUUCCGACUACUGUUGCUCUUCACUGUGUGCCUGAGGAGGUGGUUGAUUGGGCCACCAGUAACUACUUUGUGGAUGCUAUUCAAGAGAUCCCCAAGGCAAAGAAUUUCAUAGCUAAUUUCAACAAGGUCAUGGCUUUGGGGAAGAAGGAAGCUUUGACCAGCGAUGCAACCAUGACAAAGGCAGAGCUUGACAAGUGCCCUUCUGUGUCUCCAAAGCUCAGAGGCCAGACUAAGCUGAUUUUCAAGCCAGACCUCACCUGAAAGGAAGUACAAGCUCCAAACCCCAAGGUGUCCAGAGGCCGGUGUCACCCUGAGCUAUGUAAGGCUCUACAACGGGUGGCCAUCCUCAUCCCACACCAGAAUGGAGAGAAGCACCUGAUGUACUUGCUGGAACAUCUACACCCCUUCCUGCAGAGGCAGCAGCUGGACUAUGGCAUCAACAUCAUCCACCAGGUUGGAACUAAAAAUUUUAAUUGAGCCAAACUCCUGAAUGUGAGCUAUGUAGAAGCUCUUAAGGAGGAAAACAGGGACUGCUUUAUAUUCUACGAUGUGGACCUGGUGCCCAAGAACAACUUCAACCUUUACACGUGUGAUGAUCAUCCCAAGCACCUGGUGGUUGGUAAGACCAGCACCAGGUACAGGUUACAUUACAAUGGAUAUUUUGGGGGUAUUACUUCCCUUAGCAGAGAGCGAUUUUUCAAAGUGAAUGGAUUCUCUAACAACUACUGGGGAUGGGGAGGUGAAGACAAUGACCUCAGACUCAGGGUUGAGCUCCAUAAGAAAAUAUUCCGGCCUAAGCCUGAUGUGGGUAAAUAUACCAUGAUCUUCCAUACCAGAGACAGAGGGAAUGAGAUGAAUGUGGACCAGAUGAAGCUCUUACACCAAGUGUCACGAGUCUGGAAAACAGAUGGCUUGAAAAGUUGUUCUUACAGAUUACUGUCUGUGGAGUACAAUCCUCUAUAUGCCAACAUCACAGUGGAUUUCUGGACUGGUGCAUGACCCUGGAU